CUAGCUAGAGACAAGGCAGGUGAUUAGGAUCAGGAUUAGAUAGACUUCACUUAUCACGGUGCAAAGGAACAAUCACGUGAGCGUUCUCCCAAACCCUGCACGCCCUUAAUUUUGCCAGGUGUAUACGGGUCCGCAUGCUCACGCUCGAUCAGUACAAGUUAGAGCUAGCUACUCCUAAUCAGGAAGCACUGAUUAAUUGUGACAGGC
rnacentral:lncRNA from 1 species